AACGAACGCUGGCGGCAUGCCUAACACAUGCAAGUCGAACGAAGUCUUCGGACUUAGUGGCGCACGGGUGCGUAACGCGUGGGAAUCUGCCCUUGGGUGCGGAAUAACUUCUCGAAAGGGAUGCUAAUACCGCAUAAUGUCGUAAGACCAAAGAUUUAUCGCCCAAGGAUGAGCCCGCGUAAGAUUAGCUAGUUGGUGGGGUAAAAGCCUACCAAGGCGACGAUCUUUAGCUGGUCUGAGAGGAUGAUCAGCCACACUGGGACUGAGACACGGCCCAGACUCCUACGGGAGGCAGCAGUGGGGAAUAUUGGACAAUGGGCGAAAGCCUGAUCCAGCAAUGCCGCGUGAGUGAUGAAGGCCCUAGGGUUGUAAAGCUCUUUUACCCGAGAUGAUAAUAGACAGUAUCGGGAGAAUAAGCUCCGGCUAACUCCGUCGCCAG
rnacentral:rRNA from 1 species